CAGCUACACAUGCAGUCGAGCGGUAGCACAGAGAGCUUGCUCUCGGGUGACGAGCGGCGGACGGGUGAGUAAUGUCUGGGAAACUGCCUGAUGGAGGGGGAUAACUACUGGAAACGGUAGCUAAUACCGCAUAACGUCGCAAGACCAAAGUGGGGGACCUUCGGGCCUCAUGCCAUCAGAUGUGCCCAGAUGGGAUUAGCUGGUAGGUGGGGUAACGGCUCACCUAGGCGACGAUCCCUAGCUGGUCUGAGAGGAUGACCAGCCACACUGGAACUGAGACACGGUCCAGACUCCUACGGGAGGCAGCAGUGGGGAAUAUUGCACAAUGGGCGCAAGCCUGAUGCAGCCAUGCCGCGUGUGUGAAGAAGGCCUUCGGGUUGUAAAGCACUUUCAGCGGGGAGGAAGGCGGUGAGGUUAAUAACCUUGUCGAUUGACGUUACCCGCAGAAGAAGCACCGGCUAACUCCGUGCCAGCAGCCGCGGUAAUACGGAGGGUGCAAGCGUUAAUCGGAAUUACUGGGCGUAAAGCGCACGCAGGCGGUCUGUCAAGUCGGAUGUGAAAUCCCCGGGCUCAACCUGGGAACUGCAUUCGAAACUGGCAGGCUAGAGUCUUGUAGAGGGGGGUAGAAUUCCAGGUGUAGCGGUGAAAUGCGUAGAGAUCUGGAGGAAUACCGGUGGCGAAGGCGGCCCCCUGGACAAAGACUGACGCUCAGGUGCGAAAGCGUGGGGAGCAAACAGGAUUAGAUACCCUGGUAGUCCACGCUGUAAACGAUGUCGAUUUGGAGGUUGUGCCCUUGAGGCGUGGCUUCCGGAGCUAACGCGUUAAAUCGACCGCCUGGGGAGUACGGCCGCAAGGUUAAAACUCAAAUGAAUUGACGGGGGCCCGCACAAGCGGUGGAGCAUGUGGUUUAAUUCGAUGCAACGCGAAGAACCUUACCUGGUCUUGACAUCCACAGAACUUAGCAGAGAUGGAUUGGUGCCUUCGGGAACUGUGAGACAGGUGCUGCAUGGCUGUCGUCAGCUCGUGUUGUGAAAUGUUGGGUUAAGUCCCGCAACGAGCGCAACCCUUAUCCUUUGUUGCCAGCGGUUAGGCCGGGAACUCAAAGGAGACUGCCAGUGAUAAACUGGAGGAAGGUGGGGAUGACGUCAAGUCAUCAUGGCCCUUACGACCAGGGCUACACACGUGCUACAAUGGCAUAUACAAAGAGAAGCGACCUCGCGAGAGCAAGCGGACCUCAUAAAGUAUGUCGUAGUCCGGAUUGGAGUCUGCAACUCGACUCCAUGAAGUCGGAAUCGCUAGUAAUCGUAGAUCAGAAUGCUACGGUGAAUACGUUCCCGGGCCUUGUACACACCGCCCGUCACACCAUGGGAGUGGGUUGCAAAAGAAGUAGGUAGCUUAACCUUCGGGAGGGCGCUACCACUUGAUCUGCU
rnacentral:rRNA from 1 species